rnacentral:rRNA from 1 species
AACGAACGCUGGCGGCAGGCUUAAUACAUGCAAGUCGAGCGGGCACUUCGGUGUCAGCGGCGCACGGGUGCGUAACGCGUGGGAACAUGCCCUUAGGUACGGAACAACACAGGGAAACUUGUGCUAAUACCGUAUAAUAUCUCCGGAUCAAAGAUUUAUCGCCUAAGGAUUGGCCCGCGUUAGAUUAGGUAGUUGGUGGGGUAAUGGCCUACCAAGCCGACGAUCUAUAGCUGGUCUGAGAGGUGAUCAGCCACACUGGAACUGAGACACGGUCCAGACUCCUACGGGAGGCAGCAGUAAGGAAUAUUGGACAAUGGGUGAAAGCUUGAUCCAGCCAUGCCGCGUGAGUGAUGAAGGCCUUAGGGUUGUAAAGCUCUUUUAGAUGGGAAGAUAAUGACCGUACCAUCAGAAUAAGCCCCGGCUAAAUUCGUGCCAGCCGCCGCCGUAA